rnacentral:lncRNA from 1 species
CUUUUUUGCCGUUUGAUGGCCUUAAGCUAGUUUAGACGCACGGUGUUCAUUUAUCUUUUAACUUCAUCGGCAUUGUUGCCAUAAAGCAACUAUAUAAGGAGGUCUCGUCGGAAAAAAUUAGGCAAACGUGCAAAUGAAAAGUACGGGUGAAAGGGCUCUCGCUGUAAGUGUGAUGGCAACGACAAUGGAGUGUGCUGAUUAAUCAUUUGAAGGCAAUGUGAAAAAACAUAAUAACUGUUUCAUAAUUUAAUUUUUAAUAGUUUGCUACAUAAUAGUAGUCUGUUUUGAAAAAAAAAACAUAUUGAAAAUAUAUGAAGAAAAACAUUUUGUCUGCAACCAACCUCCGCGUCGAC